rnacentral:lncRNA from 1 species
UUUCACCAAAGUCUUUUGAAGUUAAUUCUCCUGUUUUCAUCCUCUAAUCCGAGGAAGACAGAUCUGAUGUGUUUCCAAUGAAGCAUAGAAAAAAAAAAAAGAAAGAAAGAAAAAAAGGCAUAACUUGCCUUUGGCUUCCACUUAAUUUGCAGAUGUGCUGGAGGCACCUCUGACAAUGACAGAGCCACAGCUACCACUGCCAGAGUUCUUGCAGCCACCUCCAAGACUUCUGUACUUGGCAUUAAAGAGAAAGCUUCUUCAAAGCCUGUCCCUCUGGAGCCUGCCAAAGUGACCAUUGCCAAAGGAUCAAAACCACUACCAGCAGCCAGGAGCUCCUUGCCUCCACUAUCAGAGCUACCAUGUCAUCACCAGGUCACUGGAGAUGCCACCAGUGCAGCCCCUAGAGGAGCCAAGGCCAUCCCAAGAAAAUCUGGAAAGCAGAAAAAUGUGUCUUUGGUGCUGGCCUUUUGCUGCCAUCAAAAAAAACUCUAAGCUCUGUGACGGUGGAGACCAUGACUUUCUUACUCACUUUUGCAUCCCUAAGAUCUAGCACAGUGAAGAUUAGCUCUGAGCUAACAUCUGUGCCAACCUUCCUCUACUUUGUAUGUGGGAUGCCUCCACAGCAUGGCUGAUGAGUGGAGUAAGUCUG